rnacentral:rRNA from 1 species
UACGUAGGGCGCAAGCGUUGUCCGGAAUUAUUGGGCGUAAAGAGCUCGUAGGCGGCUUGUCACGUCGGGUGUGAAAGCCCGGGGCUUAACCCCGGGUCUGCAUUCGAUACGGGCUAGCUAGAGUGUGGUAGGGGAGAUCGGAAUUCCCCAGUGUAGCGGUGAAAUGCGUAGAUAUUGGGAGGAACACCAGUGGCGAAGGCGGCUCACUGGACCGGUACUGACGCUGAAGCGCGAAAGCGUGGGGAGCAAACGGGG